AGAGUAUACAGAAUGUACACUAAAACAGGGGUGACCACUGGGCCUUCAAAGGAACCACAUGCAGACACAUAUAAUCUUCCAUCUCUUGACUU
rfam:Otolemur garnettii contig137585, whole genome shotgun sequence.